UGAUAUAAUUUUAUUUUAAGAUUUUUUUAUAAAAAAAAUUUAUCCGAAUUCGGAUUUUCCUAUCCGGAUUCGAAUUCGGACAUCAGGGUAUCUGAGUCAAAUUCGACCGAUAUACAGACCUAGAUAUCGAAGAUCGUCCAAUGUAGUCCCCAUACCUUCAAUGCCAGUGUCAUUUUGUUAAUUUUCGUUGUUGCAUCCUUUAAGUUGGCCGCAUCUUACAGAUUCGAAAUGAGAUUUCCAACAUCGUUGAAACAUUCUCGAAGCAACCAUCGAGCGAAUUCGCACUCAAAAAGGCGUGGUUUAUAGUCUCUGUCGCCGCUCCACAUAGUGUGCAAUUGACUAGAAUCAUGAUCCUUCGUUUGAUUAGCCUAUCUUUCGUUGGCAAAUUCACCCACCUCACAUGUCAAAGAUGAAGGGAAACUUUCUAAAUUUUCGUGGCUCAGAUCCCCUUUGCGUGCUCGUCAGGGGGUGUGUCUGUCUAAACUUGGUCUCUUUCAAGCACCCUUCCAAUUAAGGCCUUUGUUUAUUGAUAACUCGGCACAUUUCCUACGGAGAGAGACGUACCUUGAACCUUCGAGAUUGAGGAAUCAUUAUGUCGGUGGUUGAUUUGGUUCAGAGCUUUGCUUUGUACAUAUCUCUGGUGCAUUCAUUAAUCCCCAAAUUCCUCCACCGUCCCAAAGACGACACAUUCUAACAACCAUUGUCACCUCUUGGACACCUUUAAAAUCUUUCGCUCCCAAUCCUCUUUCGCCCUCCCUCUGGUCAUCUUUUCCCAAACAAACUUG
rnacentral:lncRNA from 1 species